rnacentral:lncRNA from 1 species
UCUCUCUUUUUAAAACAUACAAAUGUUAUCAGAUUUUAUGACAUGAUGUGAACGAAACUGUUGUGUGGAGAUGGGGAUAAUCACUACAUUUUUUCUUCAUGAAGCUGAAUAUUUCCUACAGGGUUAGAGUAAAAUCUAAGAAAAUGAUCUGCAAUUAAAGAUCUAAAAUUUCCUAGGCUUUAUGUUCAAUGAGAAUAUAGAAUUUUUAAGCCUUUUACUGAUCACCCAGCAUGACCACCAUACAUCAUAAUUUCUGAAGUCCUUUAGCUUGUGAAACUGUUUCUUCAAAAACCUUUUCAAAAUGCCUGACUUUUCCUGGAAAUAUAUCCUCACUAAAAACAUAAAGCCUUUUAUCAUGGAUAUAGCUCACUAUAACAUCAACAUCAAUACAACUGGUUAAAAGGUAAAGUCUUUGGUGAUUAAACAAGGAUCUCUUCUUCCAGAUACCCAUUCCUGAUCCUUAAGGGAAUGUGACCCCUCUCUUCUUGGGUUCCCCUAAUUCUCUACCUCUCUUACAGCAUGACAUACCCAAAGGAUGUUUAUUUGUUUGUAUGUCUCUUCUCCGAUCCAAUUAACUGUAUACUCCUAGGGGGAUGGAACCGUGACUUCUCUAUCCCUAUAUCUCCCAGGGUCAUCACAAUGCCUGGUAUCUGAGUUCAAUAAAAUGAAAAAGAUAGUUGAAGAAUCCUCAUAUUAAAAUAAAAUUCACUUUUGCAUUUCUUGUCGUUGAAUUUCUGGAUGUUUCUGGAGAACAUUUAAUCGUAUAUUUAGUAUUUUCUAGAUCACCUUUUAAACUUCUCACACCUGCACUGAAAGACUCAUUCGAGGCCAGAAGUCUGGGUAAAGAGUGGUCUGUCCUUAAUUUUCAGGGUCACAGCCGUUUCUCUCCACCACUGCCCGACUCUGCUUUUCUUUGCCAGUACGAAACCUUGUAAUGUCCUCUUACAUGUUCCAUUGAUGACUGAGAAAAGCAGGAGCAGAAUUGUGCACAGCCAGUGACACAGAGAUUCAGCACAGGUACAUUAUGUGGGAGUGGAUAGAGAGACAGGAGCUUCAGGGUAUAAAGCUCUCUCUUUAUCCUGUUGAUGUCACAGCUAUCCCCUUCUGUCCAAGACUAACUGCAAAAGAAGUCACAUAAGAAAUCUUGUGAAUUGAGCUGACUUACUCCCAGAAUCACAGUAGGCUCUCAGGUUCCAGGCCAUCACCAGCAUAGACAAUGGAGUCGAGAGAGAUGAUUUCCCCAUUUUGGCUCCUUUGAGAACUUCACCAGACCAGCCAUGAUGCCGUUUUCCACCACCACCCCUCCAGGACUGACCACACUGAGACAGGUCACCAAGUAUAGGUACCAACUUGUCUACUUAUCAACUCUGUUGGCUUCCCCUAAAGUUGUUGCAGAUAUAGGCAACUCUGUCCACCCCACACUCACUUCCUGUUCUGCUGCUACUACCUCUGUUCUUCCACUCUCAGCAAUCACAGCUGAUAGGCCCUUAGCAGCCCCUGGUACACAACUAUUGUCAACAGUGUCCACUAGGAAAACUUAGUUAUACUAAUUUUCCUCUUUGGGGAUAUUAUAGGACAUCGAUGAUUAUUUACUGAUUGUUACAAUUGAGUGUUUAAUCUAUUGCAAACGAUUACA